UACGUAGGGUGCGAGCGUUAAUCGGAAUUACUGGGCGUAAAGCGUGCGCAGGCGGUUUUGUAAGCCAGGUGUGAAAUCCCCGGGCUCAACCUGGGAAUGGCAUUUGGGACUGCAAGGCUGGAGUGUGGCAGAGGAGACUGGAAUUCCUGGUGUAGCAGUGAAAUGCGUAGAUAUCAAGUGGAACACCAGUGGCGAAGGCGAGUCUCUGGACAUUUCCUGACGCUGAGGCACGAAAGCCAGGGGAGCAAACGGG
rnacentral:rRNA from 1 species